UGCACAGUGUCAGAGAAAUCCACAGAGACCCAUUCAACCAGUGCCACAUCACAAACACGUGAAAAAUCUCUCUCUCUUGGCAGUUAGGAUCAAAACAGAAAAUCCACCAAGAACAAUUCACAAACCCUGAUUUCCAGAACCAAAUUUCAUCAACAAAUUCACUGAGAUUGCAUCAAUUCUCAGAGAUUCAUGGAUGAAUCUUCAUCACUGAACUGAAAUCCCUGCA
rnacentral:lncRNA from 1 species